GGCAACCUUAUUUUUUCCGCUCCAGGCUAAUCCGUCCCGUGGGAUCGAUCUGUCAAUCGUAUUAAGAUUCAGUACUGUGCUUGACACACUGUAAGAGCUUAAUACCACUGAAGGAAGAUCCCCUCAAGGCUCCCAAGAUGUCAAGAAGCAGUGCAGCUAGUGGAAUUCCGGCUCUGACACCUGCCGGCUCUGUGACCUUGGGUCGUCCGCCAACUCUGCCAAGAAGUCGUAAUGCUGCCUGUGGAUCGCCAUGAUGAUGACGUCGGCCCUCUGAACCGCCUCUCUGUAGCAUAAGACCUCCGCUCCCUUCGGGACCAGGCUGGAUUCUUGGGGUUUCCGGCUCCCGAACACCACAGGAUAGCCACACUGGAGCAUCUUGUACCCCAAGGAUCUUCCGAAAUCUCCAGUGCCGAAAACACACACGGUCUCGUAUUUGUCUUGGAGGGGCAUGGUAAGAGGAAUAGCGAUUUCCUCCAUAACUAAAAAGUGACAACACAGGCAUCGCGGAAAUGUGAACGAUUUGGAACCGAUAUGUAAAAAUAAUAACUGUGGUAUUUUUUUUAAGCGCUAA